GACGUAGGGCGCGAGCGUUGUCCGGAUUUAUUGGGCGUAAAGAGCUCGUAGGCGGCUUGUCGCGUCGAACGUGAAAACUCGGGGCUCAACUCCGAGCUUGCAUUCGAUACGGGCAGGCUAGAGUUCGGUAGGGGAGACUGGAAUUCCUGGUGUAGCGGUGAAAUGCGCAGAUAUCAGGAGGAACACCGGUGGCGAAGGCGGGUCUCUGGGCCGAUACUGACGCUGAGGAGCGAAAGCGUGGGGAGCGAACAGG
rnacentral:rRNA from 1 species